GUCUUUUCAGAAAUGGGAUUAGUCUUUUUUUGCCUGUACUUUCACUUUAGAUGGCUGUCCUCAGUCAACCCUUUCUUGAUAUUUAUUUAUCUUCCUUAAACAAAUACUCAUCUCUGGUUCUCUCGUUUUGAUUUACACAAAGUAUUCCUUUUCCUGUUCACUUCUUCUAUUGAUCAGAGACACUUGCUCCGCUUCGCACCUUAAGAGGAGAUGACUUCAAUAAACAUGAAACAGGUUUUUCAAGACUUCAAGAUAUGAAUGGAACAGGAUAGACCGUAUUUUUUCCACCCCAAGAAGGCAUCUAAAUUCAGAAUAGAAAGUGAACCUGAGUUUUAAAUUAAAUUAGUUUAAAUUGUGAAUGGGACACUCAGUAGUGGUGUUAGCGGGUAGGGUGGUAACGGAACCCAUAAAGCAGCUGUGUCUUUCAAAAGCAGCUGGAUGUGAGCUCCGUUUCCAUCCCGUUUCGCAACAUCCAACAGUCUGACCGUUUGUAGAGAGAAACAUACUUCCUGGUGUACUUGAGUCAGUGAGUGUCUUUUAGUGUGAUGUGGCUGCAGUUGACUCUUCAAUAACUAAUAGGUGAUGUUCUUCAAUGACACGUUUUCUCCCGGAUUGACACAAACUAUAAGCCCCGGGAAUUUCGUGUCAGCAAAGAAUGACACCAGCUUCUAUAUAGGACAUGAGCAGCUUAAGCUAUUUAUUUUAGCUGAUUAAUGUAGUGUGCAAAUUGAUUUAUCAUCAGGCUAUUGUUUCUGAAUUGUUGCCCUGUUAUUCUGAAUUAAAAUAUAACUGGAUUUUA